CACGUAGGGCGCGAGCGUUGUCCGGAAUUAUUGGGCGUAAAGAGCUCGUAGGCGGCCUGUUGCGUCCGCUGUGAAAGCCCGGGGCUUAACCCCGGGUCGGCAGUGGAUACGGGCAGGCUAGAGGUAGGUAGGGGAGAAUGGAAUUCCCGGUGUAGCGGUGAAAUGCGCAGAUAUCGGGAGGAACACCGGUGGCGAAGGCGGUUCUCUGGGCCUUACCUGACGCUGAGGAGCGAAGGCGUGGGGAGCGAACAGG
rnacentral:rRNA from 1 species